UUCUUGUGGACUGAGGUUACGUUGUGUCUAAUCAUGUUUUGCUGUGUUACGUUGAUAAAAAUUAUAUAAUUUACCUUUUAUCGCUCCUCCCCAAACCAGUCAGGGCUGGACUGGGGUUAAAAACCGACCCAGAUCUUGGUGGUUACACACGAUAAGUUUUGUCGAGAGUGGGAGAGGAGAUCCUCCCACGAUGAAUUUUGCCGAGCAGGGGAGGAUAAAUUUUGCAUGCCCACAAACCGAUCAGCCCACCUGGAAAAUGAAAGUCUAAAGACGUGCAGUUUGUAUGUAUGGGUUCCCUGUGAUGGAUGGGCACCCAAUCCAGAAUGUUCUCUUGCUAUGUGGAUAGCCUUCGAGCUUACCCCGCCCUUGGUAAGUGGUCAUACAACAUGUAACCUGUUGAUGUCCAUGUUCUCCAAAUCUACCUUUGAAUUUGUGUGUCCCUGUACAUAGGCUACAUGACAUUCAUUUACUGACAAGUUUAAAGAUAUUAAUAUAUGAGGUACAAUUUUCACUGAAAUUCUGGUUUUAAGUGACUUAAGUGUUAUUUGUAAGGUUUCUAAUUUCAAAAACCAUUAUUUCCUUGCUGCUGUUUCCAGUGAUCAGUGAUAUUUCAGUGUUUGCCAUAUUGAGUGCCAGGAUUCCAGUGAAAUUCUGACUGUGGCCUGACACAAAACUGGACACUUGAAAUGUUCUUUUUAAGUGCUACAUUUUCAGUCUCUGCUGAAAUGAUCAGCUUCUAAUUCCCCAAAAUAAUUAACAGUCUGAAAUAUAGUUGCGUCAGUUCUCGAGUUAUAGGGGUUACAAUUCUACCUCUGCUCCGUGUGUGUCUGGUUUACAUAAAUUGUUAAAUGUUUUGAACUGCACUGAAACGCAAAAAACUCGAAAUAUCCUAAAGAAUAAUAAAUACCUUUGCAGAAUCGUUUAUUGUAACUGGUUAUUUCAGCAAAGCGAAUGUGAUAAACAUGGUUACACCUAUGACAUUUGUAUCUGAUACUUGUCCGGUUUUUAAUUCAAAACUUGCAUUAUGACUGCACCAGUGAAGAUUACGGUGGAAAACAAAUACGAAAGAAUCAACUUCAUUCCAUUACAUUUAUAAUUUGCCACAGGCAGCGUCAUUCUUCCAACCACGAACGCGCACGCACACCGCGCGGUGGACGUCAAAUGGCGGCGUAGGCAACCAAUACGGAGAAAGGGGUAAUAAAGAAGGUGCCCUACCGACUAUGGGCGUGGCUUACGGUUCAUGGGGCGUGUCGGUAUUAGAGACGGCCAAUUGGAGGCGUAGGAGGCGGAGCGCUGCCACACAAUGCUCGGUUGUCCACAGGGUGGCUAUACAGAAUGAAAGCGGAAUGUUUCGCAGGUGUAAACUUCUUUUACCCCGUUCUUGUGCGCUGCGCUCUCGGAAAUCAGUCGGCACCGGCCACUGGACUUUUGUGAUUUAGAAGUUUUUGCUACGCUGAUUUUUUUCAACGGUGGGGAACGACAUUAUUUACAAGCUUUCUGCGGAGGACUCGAGUCAGCGAGGGCAGAGUGCAUGGCUGGGAUCGUCUCCAUGACGACACGCGUCCCCUCGCCGUUCUUCGGUCUGCACGGGCCCGUGUCGGGGCGCGCUCUGCAUCCCGCUGCCGGACGCCACGCGUGAGUGGGAUGGGCUCGCGUCCCUUCCUGCAAGUCGUAGCCGAAAGGCCGGAUUACUGGGAUUCCACCUUGGGGUGUGUGGCAAACCUCUUUCAGUUACUGCUGAUGAGGCUUAAAUAA